UAGGUUGUGGCUCAGUGGUAGAGCACUUGCCUAGCAUGUAUGAGGCCCUGGGUUCGAGCCUUAGCACCGCAU
rfam:Ictidomys tridecemlineatus contig054073, whole genome shotgun sequence.